rnacentral:rRNA from 1 species
CUGGAAUCCUGAAGAGAUUUAGGAGUGCUCGCAAGAGAACCGGAACACAGGUGCUGCAUGGCUGUCGUCAGCUCGUGUCGUGAGAUGUUGGGUUAAGUCCCGCAACGAGCGCAACCCUUGCCAUUAGUUGCUACAUUUAGUUGAGCACUCUAAUGGGACUGCCGGUGACAAACCGGAGGAAGGUGGGGAUGACGUCAAGUCCUCAUGGCCCUUAUGGGUAGGGCUUCACACGUCAUACAAUGGUCGGGACAGAGGGUUGCCAAGCCGCGAGGUGGAGCCAAUCUCAGAAACCCGAUCGUAGUCCGGAUCGCAGUCUGCAACUCGACUGCGUGAAGUCGGAAUCGCUAGUAAUCGCGGAUCAGCAUGUCGCGGUGAAUACGUUCCCGGGUCUUGUACACACCGCCCGUCACACCAUGGAGUGGGUUUCACCAGAAGUAGGUAGCCUAACCACAAGGAGGGCGCUUACCACGGUGAGAUUCAUGACUGGGGUGAAGUCGUAACAAGGUAAGCGUAGUGCU